rnacentral:rRNA from 1 species
UACGUAGGGUGCGAGCGUUUGUCCGGAAUUAUUGGGCGUAAAGGGCUCGUAGGCGGUUUGUCGCGUCGGGAGUGAAAACCUCGGGCUUAACUCGGGGCUUGCUUUCGAUACGGGCAGACUAGAGGUAUGCAGGGGAGAACGGAAUUCCUGGUGUAGCGGUGAAAUGCGCAGAUAUCAGGAGGAACACCGGUGGCGAAGGCGGGUCUCUGGGCCGAAACUGACGCUGAGGAGCGAAAGCGUGGGGAGCAAACAGG